GCACGGAGGGCUAUCAGCAAGAUAUUAGGAGGGUUUUCUAACAUGGAGAUGUAAAGGAUUCUGUCUCUGUGUGUGUGUGUGUGUGUGAGGAGGGGGGGUCUUAUUCUUUUUUUGCACUGUUGCAACAUCCUGCAGCCACAGGCUGGUGUAAAACACAGCAGAGAGAAGAAGAAGAAGAAGAAAAAAAAAAUCAUUUGCAUUUUUCUGAGCGGUACUUUUCGCCCUACAGUCACAGCUUUAUUGUUUCUGAAGUGAAAAUCUGAAAUGAAGUCUGGCCAAGAAGAAAAAAAAGGAAAAGAAAACACGAGAGGAAGAGCUAUGGAGAGAGCGCAAGGGCAGGAUUGAUUUACUUGCUGUAUUGGUAAAUAUGACCACGUGAUCCAUGUAACCAAUCCCUGUAGAUGCAGGCCAGCAAAAAUACCAUGAUUGUUCAUAGAGGGAAGCUUGUCGUAACAGUGCAAGCCCUAUUAUAUGAGUAGGAAGAGAUCAAAAAUGUCUUCCAGUGGUGCGCUCACUAACGGCUAUGUGGACGCAGUCAUGGGCCCGGAGCCGGAGGAUGUGUACGGGGCUCGGUUUCUCCAGGCUCCACACACGGUGGCCCCCAGGCCUUCAGGUGCCGGGGACAACGUAGACUUCUCCUCCUGCAAUUUUGCACCAAAGUCCGCCGUUUUCCCCUCUUCCUGGUCCUCGGUUCACCCGCAGGGGAUUUACCAUCCGUACGUGCACCACCACCACCAGCACCACCACCACCAGUCCCAUCUGCCCGCCUCGGACGGCAGAUAUGUCGGCGUCCGCUCCUGGAUGGAGCCUCUCUCCAGCCACGUCUCCUUUGCAGGAUUCCACUCCAACAGUCGCUCCUACGGGGCCAAGCCCGAGCCUGUGCCGCCGAAAGCCGCCGUCGAGUGCGACACGUUGGAGGCAGAGACGCGGCCGCUGCCCGCGGAGGAGUUCGCCUGCGGUGGAGCGUCCGAGUGCGCGGAAAAGACGAACCAGGAGCAGAGUGGAAGUGAGCUUUCCAGCCACUGCAGCGACUCCAAAGAGGAGAAACAACAACAACUUGACCCAAACAACCCUGCUGCAAACUGGAUCCACGCACGCUCCACGAGGAAGAAACGCUGCCCCUACACUAAAUAUCAGACUCUGGAGCUGGAGAAGGAGUUCCUCUACAACAUGUAUCUGACCCGGGACCGACGCUACGAGGUGGCCCGGAUUCUCAGCCUAACCGAGAGACAGGUCAAGAUCUGGUUCCAGAACAGGAGGAUGAAAAUGAAGAAAAUGACCAGAGAGAGAAGCGGCGGUAAGGAGCUGCUGUGAGAACCCGGACUGUUGUCACUGCUGCUGCUGCUGUCGGUGCCAUUUCACUCCUUCACGACGUUGAAGCCAUGAUGUGAACAUUUGACUUUAACUUCCUUCACUGGAGCUUCAACAGUAGCCGUCUCUGAGGCGGAUUAAGUACUUAAAUAUUGACAAACUCUACAAGGCCAGUGCACAGGGACUGGUCUUGUGGUGACUGUGGCGCGCACACGUCAAGAUCCUUUUGGAUUUUUAUUUUUGUGCUUGUGGUUUUUUUUUUCAAUUUUCUUUUUUGUUUUUACGUGUUUACACCGUCUCGAGGUGGGAUGCUGGAGCAGUUUCUCCGCUUUGUAAGAAAAAGAAAAAAACACAAGUUGGCUUUAAAGCACUGCCUUUGUAGUUGUAAAUAUUUUUGGACGUGUGUGUGUAUACGUAAACAUAAAACACUUAAGCUAAAACACGUUGCUGUUUUGGACAAAACAUAACGCGCACACAUGAACAUGUACAGACGUUUGCAUCACAAGAUGAAGAUGAAAAACAUAACCCUCUGCUAACAUCUUUGAAACUCAACAAUUUGCAGUAUUUUUUCAACUUAAAAAAAAAGAGCCGCGCCUUUCGCUGCACACUGCUUCUGGUUUAUUUAUUGGCUGUUUUAUUGGGAAAUGCACAUCAAAUUUUAUUCUGCGAGGCCUUGUUUGCACACGCGCCGCUUGACUCCAGAAAACUGAAAACAGUCUUUAUCAAACUUUGAUCGAUUCCUCCAUGUGCAGACGACACAAUCAAGACUUUAGAUAAUUUUAGCAGAAAGUUGUUGUAAUCUCUAGGUUUGGAAUGGUACAAACAACAAGUCAUAAAGAGUUUACGACGGGCCGAGGUGUCAGCUGCGGAUUUCCAAUUUAUUGUUCAACAUGUAGGAAUAAUUGUUUUAAAGCAGGAAGAAACGUGGGCCAAUAAAGCCAUAGAAAUGGCUAGACGUCUGGCCUAAAUGACUUUAUGGUCCUGGCCAGUAAUUACACUCUCCUUUGAAACCCCCCGAAUUUUCUCUUUAGGCGUUUGUGUGUGUUGCUGACAAACAGAACCGUAGACACCUCUUUCUUUUACCUCGGGGUGUCUGCUCUGUGAAUUGUUCCAGAGGAAAUCAACCCCCAACGGCACCACCAACACCACCUUUGUAAUGGUCACGUUUAUUCACCAACUCCACUUCCCAUCGCUGGGAAGAACAAAAAAACUUAACUUUGACUUGUAUACAAGCUUUUGCUCCAGAUUUGAUGAGUUUAAAUAAAAUACAUUUUCUGACACAGGUUAGAAUUACAAUUCCUAUCAAAAAUGCUCAUCUCUGAAGCUAAUAUUGUUUAUUUAUCUUUGUCCCAAUUAAGCAGAGCUAGGUUUGAGAUUAUAUUCUGUGCAAUGCAGUGCUGCUCACUGAUGUAAAUGAGAGCACUAGAGGGCGAUGUUGUUCUUUUUAGCCUCAGUCAAAGCAGCUCUUCCCCAUGCAGACAACACAUGGACAGCACAGCUUUGUCCUCAUGGAUCCAUUUAUCUAUAUAAAGAAAAACAAGCAGAUCUUCUCCAGAAAGAGUCAAAGAUUUAUUAUCGUUCAUAUUUUUUUAAGAUGAAAGCUGCUCUUUUAGGGAGUUGACGUGGAUUUAAUUGUAAAAAAAAAAAAAUUAAAUCUACACGUCUUUGUUCCAUUGUUGUGUUAUUUUCUCCAACUGUUACUGAUGGCUUCAGGACUUUAUACUGCGGUAUUUUUCAGACAACAUGUCAGAAUUAUGGCAGUCCAUUUUCUUACCGACCUUGUAUAGAAACAUGUGCAAAUAGUUUAAAUUUAACUUGAAGAUAAAGCACAACUCUUUGAAAAUUUCAGUUGUAGUUAUUCUGUCUAUGAACGUCUGCGAAAUAAAAACAGCGUAGACCUGAAUAAUAAUAAAAACUAAAACCCUGAAUUUUGCGCUUACAAAAUUCCCUGUGCUGCCUCUGGAUUUUAUUAUGACCAACUCAAUCACGAAUUUAAAGAAAACGGCACCGAGGUUGAGCACAAAGGUAGAGCUGGAACGCAAAUGAAAAUGCAUAUAAAUAUGUGAAGUAUUUCCUGCAGCGAUUUCUUUCCAUCUACUAAUUUAAAAAGCAUUUUAAGUUAAAUCAAGGCGCAACAGAAAUAAUUAGAUUGUUAGGAUAAUGUGUCUCAUCCUACACAAACACAAUAAUUUAAACGCAUUGAAGGCCUGUAUUAGCUGUGUCUUUUUAAGGCCUCAAAUAAUAUUACGAUUUUUCACAAAUUCACUAGUGUCCUUUAUUAUUUAAUUCAUUGUUGUUGUAACCUUUCCCUGCUUCGUGUAUAGAUUAUUUGUUUUCCUUUGCUCAUGUUAUCGUCAGCGGCUCAAAGACAUAGUCAAAAAGAGAUGAUGGAAAAUAAGUAAAAAUGCCGUUAGAAAAACUGCACAGUCUGCAUUCCCAUGUUUUCAUUGACCCACAUUGAUACUGCAUUUACUGGUUUGUAAAGCGACAUGGCGAUUAUUUUAAUCCGCGUCUUUGGAGAAAACUCGACUCCAGACUGUCGACGCAUGUGCGCCACAAACAGCAUUACAUGCCGUUCACACUAAGCAGCGUUCAUAAUGCCACAGAGACAGUGUGUUCAGAUGGAGAUGCGUUCGUGCCUCUGCGUCAGUCUGUCUCCCUGCCUGCAUGUCCUUGGUCAUGUGUCUCCUUCCUUCAGUGGUCAAACUCACUGCGGGCCGUGCACCAAGUAAGGAGGACAUGGAGGGGUUUGUGCCAUUAUGCGCAAAGAUGGGGGGAAUUGCUGCUGCUGCCUUUACUGCUGCUGCUGCUGCAGUCGAAAUUCCUUUUUGUGAGCGGAGAAUUUACAACUUGAUUUGGUUUCCCACUGCAUUCUGCUGCUGUCUGUGCUGCUCCAAACCCACACGCCCUGCAGGCUCUUCACUCUUCAGCUGCAUUUAUUUCUUUAAAACAACCCCAGUUUUAUUUACUGCUUUAUUUUAAACGUCCGACCUGCGCACAUCCUGCGGCACAGACAGAUCAGCCCCGGGGUCUCCUGGAUGAGAAGAACUUGGUCGGUGUCUGACUUGGUCAUCCACAGACUCUGACCAAAGAUGUUGUGCACCACAGCCCAGGUGGACAACAUGGGAUCCCUCCUGGUCACAGGUAUGACUUCUCUAAAAGCAAUAGUGGCUCUAAUGUGUGUCUGUAAGUGUGUGCAUGUGUGCGAGUGCAUAUGAAGUUUGACAGCUUCCUGUUUCAUUAGUCAUGUAAAUGAGCGGAAGACUCGCUGCUAUUAGACUGUGGCGAAUUCACGUGUUUCUAGUUGACAUGGAAAUGAUCUGUUUUAGCAUUUGUGACGCAGACUCUCAUUAUUAUAUUAUUAUUAUUAAUGCUGUUUUAUUUCGGAUGAGUCAGUAAUGUUGUUAAAACGUCUCAUAUGUGAUAUUUUGUUACAAGAAUGAAACAUGUUUUAAUGUUUUAUUAAAUGUGUUUUAAAAAGGUCCAGACCCCGGCUCAUCCAUUAUUACGCACCGUGCGUGAUGAGGGUGUCUGGGUCUGACUGCUCUGUUCUUCUCUUUUAUGAUCUUUUCGUUUUCAACCAACGUUUCCUCUUUUGGGUUUUCGAUAUGAAUCUGCGUGUACAAGCAUUUUUCGUUUCCAUUCCUCUUCCUCUCGGUUGACACAGAACCCAAACUUGUAUGAUUUUCACGUUCCAAGACCAUCUGUGAGGCUGUGCUGAACCCCACAACAUCUGCACACACACAAACACACACAGAGACACACACACACACUGCUCA